rnacentral:lncRNA from 1 species
GAACUCCUAGCUUUUGCAGGACUGGUUCUUUGGAUGAGAGCAGAGCAGAGCAGAGCUGGGAAGAUCCAGGUGGUCUGGGGAGAGAGCAUUUCCAGGUGUACCCACCCCAGUGUGUGCCACCCUCAGGAGCCCCUGGCAGGACCAAGACUCAGGGUCCUCAUUGUGGGCCUCUGCAGCUUGUGGAAGCCACCAUAUAAAGAAGUCCAGGCUAUACUCCUAGAGGCCACAUGCAAGAGAACUGAGGCAUCCCAGCUGACAGCCAGCACCAACUGCCGGGCAUGUGAGUGAACUUUCCUAGAAUACGACCCUCCAGCUCCCAUCAAUCAAGACUGAAGAUGAUAUAGCCCUGGACAGUGCGGCUUGACUGCAGCCUCAUGAGACACCCAGAGUCAGACCACCCAGCUAAGCUGCUCCUGGAUUUCUGACCCUCAGAAACUAUGAUACAAUAAAUAUUUGUUGCAAGCCACUAAGUUUGGGGGUAAUUUGUUAUGCAGCAAUGGAUAACUGAUAAACCUCACCAGUCUCACUAUUGGGAAUCUCAUCAUUAGAGUUUCACCCUGUGAGUGGGUUAAGUC